rnacentral:snRNA from 1 species
GUGCUUGCCCCAGCAGCACAUAGACCAAAAUUGGAAGAUACAGAGAAGACGAGUAUGACCCCCGCACAAGAAUGGCCCACAGAUUUGUGACGCCUUCCAUGCUUAA